GCCAUAGUUAUAGCAUCGUAGAAUAGAAGAACCCGUCAGGGCUGGUUUCGAGGAUCUCAUAUCAACAGCAUCAUGAAUAGGAGGGGUAGAAACUUUGUUACCAUACACGUCCCCUUGAUUCUUUGGUGCUUGGUUGCUCUACGAGAAUGAAUCAGAUCUAUGUAUAGAUCUUCAUUGUAGCUACUCCUCAACAACUACAGCUUGGUGGUAAGGAGUGGAGCCUCAA
rnacentral:lncRNA from 1 species